rnacentral:rRNA from 1 species
AUGGCGUCCCGCGACCUCGCCGAGAGCCUGCUCCCCGGCGGGGGCGCCUCCGCCUCCUCCUCCCACGACGAGUACGAGGAGCGUGCGUACGACUCGGACGACAAGGUCUCCAUCUCCAUCUCCGACUCGGAGCCCGACGACGACGGCGACCCCGGCGCCGCGCGCGCGCGCCCGGCCUUCUCCUGGCGGAAGCUCUGGCGCUUCACGGGGCCGGGCUUCCUCAUGUGCAUCGGCUUCCUCGACCCGGGCAACCUCGAGGGGGACCUGCAGGCGGGCGCCGCCGCCGGGUACCAGCUCCUCUGGCUGCUGCUCUGGGCCACGGUCAUGGGCGCGCUCGUGCAGCUGCUCUCCGCGCGCCUCGGGGUCGUCACCGGGAAGCAUCUCGCCGAGCUCUGCCGGGAGGAGUACCCGCCCUGGGCCACGCGCGCGCUCUGGGUCAUGACGGAGCUCGCGCUCGUCGGCGCCGACAUACAGGAGGUCAUCGGCAGCGCGAUUGCCAUCAAGAUCCUCUCCGGGGGCAUCGUGCCGCUCUGGGGCGGCGUCGUCAUCACCGCCUUCGACUGCUUCAUCUUUCUAUUCCUGGAGAAUUAUGGUGUGAGAAAAUUGGAAGCGUUUUUCGGCGUCUUGAUUGCAACCAUGGCUAUAUCAUUUGCGAUCAUGUUUGGUGAAACGAAGCCUAGUGGAAAGGAGCUUCUGAUCGGUUUGGUGGUUCCAAAGCUGAGCUCAAAGACCAUCAAGCAGGCGGUUGGAAUUGUGGGCUGCAUCAUCAUGCCCCAUAAUGUUUUCUUGCACUCAGCGCUAGUGCAGUCCAGGAAGAUUGACACAAAAAAGAAAUCGCGUGUUCAAGAAGCAGUGUACUAUUACAACAUUGAGUCGAUUCUUGCUCUCAUCGUCUCUUUCUUUAUUAACAUCUGCGUUACAACGGUAUUCGCUAAAGGAUUUUAUGGAUCCGACAAAGCUGAUAACAUAGGUCUUGAGAAUGCUGGCCAGUACUUACAGGAGAAAUAUGGAACUGCUCUGUUUCCUGUCCUCUAUAUCUGGGCUAUUGGGUUGUUAGCGUCUGGACAGAGCAGCACAAUCACCGGCACAUAUGCCGGCCAAUUCGUCAUGGGAGGUUUCCUUAAUCUUCGAUUGAAGAAGUGGUUACGAGCAGUGAUUACUCGAAGCUUUGCCAUUAUUCCAACUAUGAUUGUGGCUUUAUUUUUUGAUACUGAAGAUCCUACCAUGGACGUUCUGAACGAGUCACUCAAUGUUCUUCAGUCCAUUCAGAUUCCAUUUGCACUGAUUCCUUUGAUCACCCUUGUUUCGAGUGAGCAGCUCAUGGGGUCAUUCGUGGUCGGUCCUAUCACCAAAGUGAUAAGUUGGAUCGUCACAAUCUUUCUGAUGCUCAUCAACGGAUACCUCAUACUGUCCUUCUACACCAACGAAGUGCGGGGCGCAGUCGUUCGUUCAAGCUUGUGCGUCGUGCUGGCUGUUUACCUCGCGUUCAUCAUCUACCUCAUCCUGAGGAACACCACACUGUAUUCUCGCCUUCGCUCAUCAGUCUCAAAGAGCUCAUGA